ensembl:snRNA U6 U6 spliceosomal RNA
AUAUUCACUUCAGCAGCACAUAAACUAAAAUUGGAACGAAACAGAGAAGAUUAGCAUGGCCCCUGCGCACAAGGAUGACCUGCAAAUUCGUGAAGCGUUCCGUAUUUUU